rnacentral:rRNA from 1 species
CGGCACGGGUGAGUAACGCGUGUGCAACCUGCCCGGCACAGUGGGAUAAUCCGGAGAAAUCCGGUCUAAUACCGCAUGACGCGGGAAAGGCGCAUGCCUUUUCCGCCAAAGGAGGCGACUCCGGUGCCGGCUGGGCACGCGUGACAUUAGCUAGUUGGCGGGGCGACGGCCCACCAAGGCGAUGAUGUCUAGGGGUUCUGAGAGGAAGGUCCCCCACACUGGUACUGAGACACGGACCAGACUCCUACGGGAGGCAGCAG